UGAGGAAUAUUGCACAAUGGGCGCAAGCCUAAUGCAGCGACGCCGCGUGUGGGAUGAAGGGGCUACGCCUCGUAAACCACUGUAGCCCGGGACGAAAAACGCCUUAGAGGCGUUAGACGGUACCGGGAAAGUAAGGGUCGGCUAACUACGUGCCAGCAGCCGCGGUAAUACGUAGGGUGCGAGCGUUAAUCGGAAUUACUGGGCGUAAAGCGUGCGCAGGCGGCUUUGUAAGACAGAUGUGAAAUCCCCGGGCUCAACCUGGGAACUGCAUUUGUGACUGCAAGGCUAGAGUGCGUCAGAGGGAGGUGGAAUUCCGCGUGUAGCAGUGAAAUGCGUAGAGAUGCGGAGGAACACCGAUGGCGAAGGCAGCCUCCUGGGAUGACACUGACGCUCAUGCACGAAAGCGUGGGGAGCAAACA
rnacentral:rRNA from 1 species